UACAGAGGUCUCAAGCGUUGUUCGGAUUCAUUGGGCGUAAAGGGUGUGUAGGUGGCGCGCUAAGUCGGGUGUGAAAUUUCGGAGCUUAACUCCGAAACUGCAUUCGAUACUGGCGUGCUUGAGGACUGGAGAGGAGACUGGAAUUCAUGGUGUAGCAGUGAAAUGCGUAGAUAUCGAGAGGAACACCAGUGGCGAAGGCGAGUCCCUGGACAACACCUGACACUGAGGCACGAAAGCUAGGGGAGCAAACAGG
rnacentral:rRNA from 1 species